rnacentral:rRNA from 1 species
GACGAACGCUGGCGGCGUGCUUAACACAUGCAAGUCGAACGGAAAGGCCCUGCUUUGGGGGGGUGCUCGAGUGGCGAACGGGUGAGUAACACGUGAGUAACCUGCCCUUGACUUUGGGAUAACUUCAGGAAACUGGGGCUAAUACCGGAUAGGAGCUCCUGCUGCAUGGUGGGGGUUGGAAAGUUUCGGCGGUUGGGGAUGGACUCGCGGCUUAUCAGCUUGUUGGUGGGGUAGUGGCUUACCAAGGCUUUGACGGGUAGCCGGCCUGAGAGGGUGACCGGCCACAUUGGGACUGAGAUACGGCCCAGACUCCUACGGGAGGCAGCAGUGGGGAAUAUUGCACAAUGGGCGGAAGCCUGAUGCAGCAACGCCGCGUGCGGGAUGACGGCCUUCGGGUUGUAAACCGCUUUCGCCUGUGACGAAGCGUGAGUGACGGUAAUGGGUAAAGAAGCACCGGCUAACUACGUG